AGAAGAGUUCAAAUUUUAGCAGAUUCAAGUGUUGACCUGCUUGCAUUUGAAACAGUGCCCAAUAAGCUUGAAGCUGAGGCUUUUGCUCAGCUUCUGGAAGAAGAGGACAUAAAGAUUCCAGCAUGGUUUUCUUUUAACUCAUGGAGUUAAUGUUGUUAGUGGUGAUUCUUUAAUGGAAUGUGGCUCUAUUGCUGAAUCAGGUGACUACAAAACCAAUUGUUAUAUAUCCAAACAGUGGGGAAACUUACGAUGCUGACCUAAAGGAGUGGGUGGUAAGUUUAUUUCAUG